rnacentral:tRNA from 7 species
GGAGACGUAUCGAAGUGGUCAUAACGGGGCUGACUCGAAAUCAGUUAGGGAGCAAUCCCCCGCGAGUUCGAAUCUCGCCGUCUCCGCCA